UACGUAGGUGGCAAGCGUUGUCCAGAAUUAUUGGGCGUAAAGCGCGCGCAGGCGGUCCUUUAAGUCUGAUGUGAAAGCCCACGGCUCAACCGUGGAGGGUCAUUGGAAACUGGGUGACUUGAGUGCAGGAGAGAAGAGUGGAGCUGCGAGUGUAGAGGUGAAAUUCGUAGAUAUUCGCAAGAACACCAGUGGCGAAGGCGGCUCACUGGCCUGGUACUGACGCUGAGGUGCGAAAGCGUGGGGAGCAAACAGG
rnacentral:rRNA from 1 species